GACAGAGGUGGCAAGCGUUGUUCGGAUUUAUUGGGUGUAAAGGGCAGGUAGGUUGUUGUGUAAGUCUGGUGUGAAAGCCCAUGGCUCAACCAUGGAAUGGCAUUGGAAACUACACGACUUGAGUAUCGGAGAGGUGAAGGGAAUUCUCGGUGUAAGGGUGAAAUCUGUAGAUAUCGAGAGGAACACCAGUGGCGAAGGCGCUUCACUGGCCGAUUACUGACACUGAGCUGCGAAAGCAAGGGGAGCAAACAGG
rnacentral:rRNA from 1 species